GACGAACGCUGGCGGCGUGCUUAACACAUGCAAGUCGAACGAAGUGGCGAACGGGUGAGUAACGCGUAAUCAACCUGCCCUUCAGAGGGGGACAACAGUUGGAAACGACUGCUACUAACGCAUACUGAAGGAGGGGAUUGCGUCUGAUUAGCUAGUGGGAGGGGUAACGGCCCACCAAGGCGAUGAUCAGUCGGCCGGUUGAGGGGAUGAACGGCCACAUGUGGACUGAGAAACGGCCCAGACUCCUACGGGAGGCAGCAGGGGGGAAUCUUCCGCAAUGGACGAAAGUCUGACGGAGCAACGCCCCGUGAGUGAUGACGGCCUUCGGGUUGUAAAGCUCUUUUAAUCGGGACGCGGUACCGGAAUAGAAAGCCACGGCUAACUACGUGCCAGCAGCCGCGGUAAUAC
rnacentral:rRNA from 1 species